GUGACAAUACUGCAGGCAGCCAGCCAGAUUCUGCUCGAACUCAACAAGAUCUUUAUGGGCUAGUUCGUAGAUAUGGUCCUCAUCAUAUGGAUGGUUUGGCCCCUGGAAGUCCAGGUGGAGAUUACCCUGGCAAAUCCUCACAUAAAUUUGGGGCCUCUCCUGGACUUGAUGAUAUUUCUGGCAGGGAAUCACAUCAGUUUGGUGAUUCAUUUCAUGGUGACAGGUUUCUAGUUUUGCCCAGCCAUUUGCACAGGCCUGGAUUUAGGAGCAACUUUUCCCUCAAGGGAAUUCCUGGGGAUGGUGGAUUCUGUACAGGUGACUUGUAUACUUUUGAUGGUUUGAGAAGGAGGAAGGCAUCUAGCAUGGGAUGGUGUCGCAUUUGUAAAUUUGACUGUGAAACAGUUGAAGGCUUAGACAUGCAUUCACAAACAAGGGAGCAUCAAAAGAUUGCUAUGGAUAUGGUUGUGAAAAUCAAGCAGAAUGCUAAAAAGAAGAAAUUAGCUAACAGUGAUCAUUCCUCACUUGAAGAUGCAAGCAAGUCAAGGAAUGCCAGUUUUGAGGGCCGUGGGAAUAAGAAUUAAGUUGUGGUGGCAUCUU
rnacentral:misc_RNA from 1 species